GACGAACGCUGGCGGCGCGCUUAACACAUGCAAGUCGAGCGAAGCGGCGGACGGGUGAGUAACACGUGAGUAACCUGCCUUAGACAUUGGGAUAGCCUCGGGAAACCGGGAUUAAUACCAAAUGGUCUAAGAGGGACUCGCGUCCCUUUAGCUAGUUGGUGAGGUAACGGCCCACCAAGGCGACGAUGGGUAGCCGGCCAGAGAGACUGGGCGGCGACAUUGGAGCUGGGAAACGGUCCGAACUCUACGGGAGGGAGCAGUGGGGAAUAUAGCACAAUGGAGGGAACUCUGAUGCAGCGAGGCCGCGAAAACGCAGAAGGCUUUCGAGACGUAAAGUGCUUUUAUAUGGGAAGCGGUACCAUAAGAAAAAGCCCCGGCUAACUACGUGCCAGCAGCCGCGGUAAUAC
rnacentral:rRNA from 1 species